rnacentral:piRNA from 5 species
GCUAAGAUCAAGUGUAGUAUCUGUU